UGCGUAGGCGGCUCGUCAGGUGGGGUGUGAAAUCCCACGGCUCAACCGUGGAAUUGCGCUCCAAACCGACGAGCUUGAGGAGGACAGGGGUGAGCGGAACUGAUGGUGGAGCGGUGAAAUGCGUUGAUAUCAUCAGGAACACCGGUGGCGAAGGCGGCUCACUGGGUCCUCUCUGACGCUGAGGCACGAGAGCUAGGGUAGCGAACG
rnacentral:rRNA from 1 species